CGUUUUUGGUAAAUAAAAUACAAGAAAAGAAAGGUAAAGCUACCUUAUUAACACUAGAUGGAGACUUAGUGUUUAGUUAAAGUUAGUUAAAAUUCAGUUAUGAGGAAGUAGCAGAAAUUAGUUGUUAGUUAGUAUUUACUUUCCUUUGUAAUUAAGUUUAUCUAGUUAAUAGUAUAUAAAGAAUUGUACAGUGUGCGUAACUUCAAAGGUUCUUCUAUCCACUGAUUUUGGUUCUUCUGUGCCCUUUGCUGUGUCAACAUUGGCAAUAACUUCAAAGGUUCUAAGAAAGAUCAUCUCACUGAGUUCUCAUUGUCGAGUCAUUGCUCACAUCA
rnacentral:lncRNA from 1 species